rnacentral:lncRNA from 1 species
UGCAUGCUGUCUCCCCCCUUUUAGUCUAAUAAUUGGCUUUUACUCUAACUAUACCCAAUAAACUAGAUGCAAUAUGAAAACUCUCAGGCAAGAAAUACAUUCACAACUUCUAGUCUGUACCUGCACCUGAGACUGCAGAUCCAGAUACUCCCCUCCUCCAUCUCAUAGCUCUGCUUGCCUCCAGGAGGCCUACUCUAAUCCCCCACAGAUGACGUGUCUGCCCCAGUCUACCUGCCUACCGGGUUGCCACCAAGCCCAGCAGCAGUGGGCUCUGCCCCAUUCUUUCAGAACCCCAAAUUGCUUCCUGUCCACACUCCAUCUCCUGUCAUGGAUUGGCACGCUGCUCUCCACCUUGCAGCUCUGCCUGCCUCCCAGGAGGCUUUAUCUAACCCAAACACAAAGCUUCAGUACAUCCCAGGAGUCCUGCCCCAACUCGACACAUCCAGUCCAGCCAACACCAGAAACAACCAGAUGGUGAAAGGCAAGCAAAAGAACAUAAUUAAAAGAAGCUAAUCCAAGAUGCUUCCAGAACCCAGCUCUC